UACAGAGGUCUCAAGCGUUGUUCGGAUUCAUUGGGCGUAAAGGGUGCGUAGGUGGCGCGGUAAGUCGGGUGUGAAAUUUCGGAGCUUAACUCCGAAACUGCAUUCGAUACUGCCGUGCUUGAGGACUGGAGAGGAUACUGGAAUUUACGGUGUAGCAGUGAAAUGCGUAGAGAUCGUAAGGAAGACCAGUGGCGAAGGCGGGUCUCUGGACAGUUCCUGACACUGAGACACGAAGGCCAGGGGAGCAAACGGG
rnacentral:rRNA from 1 species